rnacentral:tRNA from 1 species
GCCUGGAUAGCUCAAUUGGUUAGAGCGUGGUGCUGAUAAUGCCAAGGUUGCAGGUUCGAUCCCUGUGUGGGAUA